rnacentral:rRNA from 1 species
UACGUAGGGGGCAAGCGUUGUCCGGAUUUAUUGGGCGUAAAGCGCGCGUAGGCGGACGCUUAAGUGUGGCCUGAAAGCCCCCGGCUCAACCGGGGAGGGCGGCUGCAAACUGGGCGUCUUGAGGGGGAUAGAGGAGAGUGGAAUUCCUGGUGUAGCGGUGAAAUGCGUAGAGAUCAGGAGGAACACCCGUGGCGAAGGCGGCUCACUGGACCGGUACUGACGCUGAUGCGCGAAAGCGUGGGGAGCAAACAGG